rnacentral:rRNA from 1 species
GACGAACGCUGGCGGCGUGCCUAAUACAUGCAAGUAGAACGCACAGUCUAUACCGUAGCUUGCUACACCAUAAACUGUGAGUUGCGAACGGGUGAGUAACGCGUAGGUAACCUGCCUGGUAGCGGGGGAUAACUAUUGGAAACGAUAGCUAAUACCGCAUAAUAUUGAUUAUUGCAUGAUAAUUGAUUGAAAGAUGCUAUUGCAUCACUACCAGAUGGACCUGCGUUGUAUCAGCUAGUAGGUGAGGUAACGGCUCACCUAGGCGAAGAUACAUAGCCGACCUGAGAGGGUGAUCGGCCACACUGGGACUGAGACACGGCCCAGACUCCUACGGGAGGCAGCAGUAGGGAAUCUUCGGCAAUGGACGAAAGUCUGACCGAGCAACGCCGCGUGAGUGAAGAAGGUUUUCGGAUCGGAAAGCUCUGUUGUAAGAGAAGAACGAGUGUGAGAGUGGAAAGUUCACACUGUGACGGUAUCUUACCAGAAAGGGACGGCUAACUACGUG